AUGCGUUGCACAGGUCAACAAAUUCAUGGGUGGAUUUGCUUCAUCUCCGUUGUUUUAGUAUCUGUAAAAUACUGUGUAGUUGGCAGAUUUUUAUUCCUUUAUAUAAGAUAUUAUUGCAUCAUUUUCUACAGAAUGACACCUGCUGACAUUUUUUCUCCAUUUCAUACAGAAAACAGAAGAAUUGUUCUCACUAAUACCUACCGUUUUAACAAAGAUCUGACAAUGAAGGGCAAGAGUGACUUACAAUCUUCCUCCAAGGUAUCUGAGGAGGAAGAAGGUGACUAUGAGACUGUAAGUUCUUCCACUCUGGAGGCCAUGAAUGCUUUGAGAAUCCUUCCAGCCAAACCUCAACAAGAAUCCGAAUAUGCAGAUAAACAUUGUUUAAGGCCUUUAGGCACCGCUUCCCCAACGAAUAGCCAGGACACAUCUCAGCCCCCUCAAUACUUGGCUAAACACACGCCUGUUCUGGAGGGGAGGAGCAUGUCAAGUGUUAGAGGAGAAAGAAUGAAAAUACAUGGACCCCAGGACCCUAUACCUCCCCCACGACCUCUGAAGACACUGCCAAAGCAGUAUCAGCCACUUCCUCCAGAGCCAGAGAUAAGCAGACAGUUCUUCUACAUGCGGAACACACUCAGCCAAACUCACACCUUUUCAAUAUCGGCAAAAGUAACAAGACAUCUAUCUGUUAAGGAACUAAAUGAAGUAAGUAAUCAUCUUUGUAUAUAUCAGGACCAUAAAAAACAUACUCAUUCCAUGGCUGCAUAG
rnacentral:lncRNA from 1 species